CACCGCGGUUAUACGAGAGGCCCAAGUUGAUUAAAAACGGCGUAAGGAGUGGUUAAGUGUAAGUUAACUAAAGUUAAACAACUUCAUAGCUGUUAUACGCAAUCGAAGUAAUGAAAACCUUCUACGAAAGUGACUUUAAACCUCUGACCCCACUAAAGCUGUGAAA
rnacentral:rRNA from 1 species